rnacentral:lncRNA from 1 species
AAACAACAAGCAUACAUGACGACUAUACAUUUCCUCAUUUACUUAGAGGUAAUCCGAUGAAAACCCACCUCAAACGCGAUUCCUUUGGCAGCAACUCGAUCUCGGAUCACAAGUAACACAGCUGGAAACACCUCCAAACCAGCAACAAUCCCCUCAAAAUCUUGACGUUACAAUUCGCCCAAAAUCCAGCAAAAACCAUCAAUUCACCAAAAAUAUCAGCACGUAAGCUUAAUUAUCUCAACUCCAAUAUCAAAACUCACCUAACGAUCUCCAAAUCAGGUAAGGGCAGUCCUGAAUC